GACGAACGCUGGCGGCGUGCUUAACACAUGCAAGUCGAACGAUGAAGCCCAGCUUGCUGGGUGGAUUAGUGGCGAACGGGUGAGUAACACGUGGGCAACCUGCCCCAAACUCUGGGAUAACUCCUCGAAAGAGGUGCUAAUACCGGAUACGAACUAGACAGACAUCUGUACUAGUUGGAAAGUUUUUCGGUUUGGGAUGGGCCCGCGGCCUAUCAGCUUGUUGGUGAGGUAACGGCUCACCAAGGCUACGACGGGUAACCGGCCUGAGAGGGCGACCGGUCACACUGGGACUGAGACACGGCCCAGACUCCUACGGGAGGCAGCAGUGGGGAAUAUUGCGCAAUGGGCGAAAGCCUGACGCAGCGACGCCGCGUGAGGGAUGAAGGUCUUCGGAUCGUAAACCUCUUUCAGUAGGGACGAAGCGAAAGUGACGGUACCUAAAGAAGAAGCACCGGCUAACUACGUGCCAGCAGCCGCGGUAA
rnacentral:rRNA from 1 species